rnacentral:pre_miRNA from 1 species
CUUCUAUUAUUUGCAGUCAGUAACAAAGAUUCAUCCUUGUGUCUGUCAAGCAACAAGGAGAAUCUUUGUCACUUAGUGUAAUUAAUAGCUGUAC